rnacentral:rRNA from 1 species
UACGAAGGGGGGCGAGCGUUGUUCGGAAUCACUGGGCGUAAAGGGCGCGUAGGCGGCCCCUCCUUGUCGCGUGUGAAAAGCCCCCGGGCUCAACCUGGGAACGGCGCGCGAGACGGGGGGGGCUGGAGUUCGGGAGAGGAGCGUGGAAUUCCCAGUGUAGAGGUGAAAUUCGUAGAUAUUGGGAAGAACACCGGUGGCGAAGGCGGCGCUCUGGACCGAGACUGACGCUG